GCAGGAGAACUUAAGGCCAUCUGUCUACCAGCUGAAGCUCAACAGAAGAUGGGUGUUGCAACAGGACAAUAACCCAAAGCAUAGAAGUAAAUCAACAACAGAAUGGCUUAAACAGAAGAAAAUACGCCUUCUGAAGUGGCCCAGUCAGAGUCCUGACCUCAACCCAAUUGAGAUGCUGUGGCAUGACCUCAAGAAAGCAAUACACACCAAACAUCCCAAGAAUAUAGCUGAAC